CAAAAGGCUCUUUUCAGAGCCACUUGCAUUUUCGCCUUAAGUAGCUGU
rfam:Monodelphis domestica chromosome 2, whole genome shotgun sequence.